GACGAACGCUGGCGGCGCGCCUAACACAUGCAAGUCGAACGAGAGAGAGGAAGCUUGCUUCCUCAAUCGAGUGGCGAACGGGUGAGUAACGCGUGAGGAACCUGCCUCAAAGAGGGGGACAACAGUUGGAAACGACUGCUAAUACCGCAUAAGCCCACGGCUCGGCAUCGAGCAGAGGGAAAAGGAGCAAUCCGCUUUGAGAUGGCCUCGCGUCCGAUUAGCUGGUUGGUGAGGUAACGGCCCACCAAGGCGACGAUCAGUAGCCGGUCUGAGAGGAUGAACGGCCACACUGGGACUGAGACACGGCCCAGACUCCUACGGGAGGCAGCAGCGGGGGAUAUUGCACAAUGGGGGAAACCCUGAUGCAGCAACGCCGCGUGAAGGAAGAAGGUCUUCGGAUUGUAAACUUUUGUCCUUGGUGAAGAUAAUGACGGUAGCCAAGGAGGAAGCUCCGGCUAACUACGUG
rnacentral:rRNA from 1 species